rnacentral:rRNA from 1 species
CUACAGGUUGUAAAGCACUUUUGUAGGCGAGGAAGAUAUCAGUGUUAAUAACAUUGAUAUUUGACGUUACCCUAAGAAUAAGCACCGGCUAACUCUGUGCCAGCAGCCGCGGUAAUACAGAGGGUGCGAGCGUUAAUCGGAAUUACUGGGCGUAAAGGGUGCGUAGGUGGCUAAUUAAGUUGGAUGUGAAAGCCCUGGGCUUAACCUAGGAAUUGCAUUCAAUACUGGUUAGCUAGAGUUGAGUAGAGGGAGGUGGAAUUUCCGGUGUAGCGGUGAAAUGCGUAGAUAUCGGAAGGAACACCAGUGGCGAAGGCGGCCUCCUGGACUCAAACUGGCACUGAGGCACGAAAGCGUGGGUAGCAAACAGGAUUAGAUACCCUGGUAGUCCACGCCUUAAACGAUGAGAACUGGAUGUUGGAGGGAUAAAACCCUUUAGUAUCGAAGCUAACGCGUUAAGUUCUCCGCCUGGGGAGUACGGCCGCAAGGUUAAAACUCAAAGGAAUUGACG